AGCAUGAACAUGAGGACUCCUGGUCAGCUCCUUGGGCUACUACUGCUCUGGCUUCCAGGAGCCAGAUGUGCUAUCCAGAUGACCCAGAGUCCACCCUCCCUAUCUGCAUCUCCAGGAGACAGAGUCUCCCUCACAUGCAGAAGCAGUCAAAACAUUUACAACAGGUUAAGCUGGUAUCAACAGAAACCAGGAGAAUCUCCUAAAAUCCUGAUCUAUGGUACAAACAAUUUAGAAUCUGGGAUCCCCUCCAGAUUUAGUGGCAGUGGAUCUGGGACAGAUUACUCUCUCACCAUUAAUAGCCUGCAGCCUGAAGAUGUUGCCACUUAUUACUGUCAACAUAGUUAUGGUUAUCCACCCACAGUGAUAUAA